rnacentral:rRNA from 1 species
GAUGAACGCUGGCGGCGUGCUUAAUACAUGCAAGUCGAGCGAACAGACGAGGAGCUUGCUCCUCUGACGUUAGCGGCGGACGGGUGAGUAACACGUGUAUAACCUACCUAUAAGACUGGGAUAACUUCGGGAAACCGGAGCAAACCGCGGAUAAUAUAUUGAACCGCAGGGUUGAAUAGUGAAAUUCGGCUUUGCUGUCACUAAUAGAUGGAUCUGCGCCGCCUUAGCUAGUUGGUAAGGUAACAGGUUUCCAAGGCAACGAUGCGUAGCCCACCUGAGAGGGUGGUCGCCCACACUGGAACUGAGACACGGUCCAGGCUCCUACGGGAGGCCGCAGUAGGGAAUCUUCCGCAGUGGGCGGAAACCUGACGGAGCAACGCCGCGUGAGUGAUGAAGGUCUUCGGAUCGUAAAACUCUGUUAUUAGGGAAAAACAAAUGUGUAAGUAACUAUGCACGUCUUGACGGUACCUGGUCAGAAAGCCCCGGCUAACUACGUG